AAGGCUUUAGCUUAAUUAAAGUGUCUGUUUUGCAUGCAGAAGAUGUGGGGUAGUGUCCUGCAAGUCUUA
rnacentral:tRNA from 4 species